UACGAAGGGGGGCUAGCGUUGUUCGGAAUUACUGGGCGUAAAGGGCGCGUAGGCGGUACUUCAAGUCAGGCGUGAAAGCCCCCGGGCUCAACCUGGGAACCGCGCUUGAGACUGGAGAACUAGAGUUCGGGAGAGGAUGGUGGAAUUCCCAGUGUAGAGGUGAAAUUCGUAGAUAUUGGGAAGAACACCGAUGGCGAAGGCAGCCAUCUGGACCGACACUGACGCUGAGGCGCGAAAGCGUGGGGAGCAAAACAGG
rnacentral:rRNA from 1 species